GUGGGGUUAGUGCGAACGGGUGAGUAAUACGUGAGUACCCUGCCUUCUUCUUUGGAUAAGCCUUGGAAACGGGGUCUAAUACUGGAUAUUCCUGUCUGGUCGCAUGGCUGGGUGGGGAAAGUUUUUUCGGUGGGGGAUGGGCUCGCGGCCUAUCAGCUUGUUGGUGGGGUGAUGGCCUACCAAGGCGUCGACGGGUAGCCGGCCUGAGAGGGUGACCGGCCACACUGGGACUGAGAUACGGCCCAGACUCCUACGGGAGGCAGCAGUGGGGGAUAUUGCACAAUGGGCGCAAGCCUGAUGCAGCGACGCCGCGUGGGGGAUGACGGCUUUCGGGUUGUAAACCUCUUUCGUCGGGGGACAAGGCUCUGCUUGGUGGUGGGGUUGAGGGUACCCGGUGAAAAGCGCG
rnacentral:rRNA from 1 species